UUUUGUAAUUUUUUGGAAAAU
rnacentral:piRNA from 1 species